rnacentral:rRNA from 1 species
GACGAACGCUGGCGGCAGGCUUAACACAUGCAAGUCGAACGGUUGUAGCAAUACAGCAGUGGCAGACGGGUGAGUAACACGUGGGAACCUUCCUAGGGGUACGGAACAACUCAGGGAAACUUGAGCUAAUACCGUAUACGUCCGUAAGGAGAAAGAUUUAUCGCCCUUAGACGGGCCCGCGUCGGAUUAGGUAGUUGGUGGGGUAACGGCCUACCAAGCCAACGAUCCGUAGCUGAUCUGAGAGGAUGGUCAGCCACACUGGGACUGAGACACGGCCCAGACUCCUACGGGAGGCAGCAGUGGGGAAUCUUGGACAAUGGGCGCAAGCCUGAUCCAGCCAUGCCGCGUGAGUGAAGAAGGCCUUAGGGUUGUAAAGCUCUUUUGGCAGGGACGAUAAUGACGGUACCUGCAGAAUAAGCCCCGGCAAACUUCGUGCCAGCCGCCGCCGUAA